CCAAUCACCUAAUCAGAGCAGGAUAUUUAGGUCAGGUGCUUCUCUUUGUUCUCUCUCUCUGCUUUCUGAACUCUGUCCCUGCUGUGGCUGGAAGCGUUUGAUGCCCAGGUAGGAAAGAGCUGCUUCAUAUGCACGCUCUUCUUUGAAGUAACUGCAUAUUAAUGUAAACAAUGCGUUUGUUUGAAGUUUUGGUCGCCUAUAGAGCCAUUUUGACCGUCUGCUAGACCAGUGACUUUGUUAAUGGCCCACAAGAGGUGAGCAGAGUGCCACUUGGUGGAGAGACUAGGCACCCGUGGUGAGGUCCCUUCACUUUCUUUUUGCAUGUGAGUAACUGCACAGGGACAUGACAUAGAUUGCACCAUUUUGCUGUGAGACUUGUUGUGUUGCACCCAGAUGAGCAUAGGUGGCACCCCUGGACACUCCUCUUUGUAGUCUGCCUCUCCACAAGUGACUUCUGCUCAGUUAUUUGUUUUUGGUAGUCUUCUGUGGGCUGGGUUUUAAAUUUGCUUUUAAAUCGAGUGUUCCUUUCUUUUAAAAGUCCUAUUAAGAUAUUUUUAGCUUGUUCUAAUAAAGUAAUAUUUUUCACCCA